rnacentral:rRNA from 1 species
AGUGAACGCUGGCGGUAGGCCUAACACAUGCAAGUCGAACGGCAGCACAGUAAGAGCUUGCUCUUACGGGUGGCGAGUGGCGGACGGGUGAGGAAUACAUCGGAAUCUACUUUUUCGUGGGGGAUAACGUAGGGAAACUUACGCUAAUACCGCAUACGACCUACGGGUGAAAGCAGGGGAUCUUCGGACCUUGCGCGAUUGAAUGAGCCGAUGUCGGAUUAGCUAGUUGGCGGGGUAAAGGCCCACCAAGGCGACGAUCCGUAGCUGGUCUGAGAGGAUGAUCAGCCACACUGGAACUGGAACACGGUCCAGACUCCUACGGGAGGCAGCAGUGGGGAAUAUUGGACAAUGGGCGCAAGCCUGAACCAGCCAUACCGGGUGGGUGAAGAAGGCCUUCCGGUUGUAAAACCCUUUUGUUGGGAAAGAAAAGCAGCAGGUUAAUACCCCGCUGUUCUGACGGUACCCAAAGAAUAAGCACCGGCUAACUUCGUG